CCACACCACUGCCAGGCUGACGCUCAGAGUUGGGAGGAGAAAGUGAAAAAACAGAGCGAAGGAAAGAGAGAAAGGAAUGCUAGAGAAAAUAGGCAAGCCUUUUUAUGUUUAGUCGUAAACCAAGCCUCACUCUGGUUGGCCCGUUGGUUUCCAACAUGUUGAGUUGUUGAGUCAGACAGAGGGAAUAGAACCUGUGUAUCCCAACUACUGAUCCACUUUCCUGCUUCCCGGAGUAACCACAGCCUUCUACACACACUUCUAGCGUUCGCCACAGAAAGAAGUUAUAGAAGCUAUUGUGUGACCUUCUGUAUUUAGUCUGACAGGCCACGACAGAAGAGCCCCAGGCACCGGCUGGACCAUUCUCAGGCAGAGCAGAGUGGAACGAGGGAGAAAUCUGGCGGAGGGGUUCCCUGGACGCUGCCGUCUGCAAGAGGCCACUGCCGCAUUCCGACCGGGCUACGCCAAGAAAGAGAGGGAGAGGGGAAGAGAGGGAGAGGGAGACAGAGAGGGAGAGGGGAAGAGAGGGAGAGGGAGACAGAGAGGGAGACAGAGAGGGGGGGAUAAGAGCAUCUGCUAAAUGACUAAAAUGUCAAAGUCUUACAUACAGAUCUCAUAUUACUUUAUUGAACCAUUUUCCCCAACAUGUUAUCUUUAUAUUGAUGUCACAAAUGUACCAUUUGUACAGUUCUUUAUUAAAAAUGUCAUUAUUUGUUACAUUUCACUGUUCAAAACGACUUAUUUCUCUGAAAGGGAGGCGGAUAUAUAGCAUUUUGAAAUAAACAUGAUUAUGACUAUUUUUCUCUCCGAAUUGAAAUGUAAUAUAUUUUAAACAAAUACAAUGUCUCAUUGAACAAACCCGUGUGAAAAAGCAUGUCUCUUUCAUAAUUUCUUUCAACAAUAAAAGCUCAUUUACCAUCA